rnacentral:rRNA from 1 species
CGGCCUUCGGGUUGUAAACCUCUUUCAGUAGGGAAGAAGCGAAAGUGACGGUACCUGCAGAAGAAGCGCCGGCUAACUACGUGCCAGCAGCCGCGGUAAUACGUAGGGCGCAAGCGUUAUCCGGAAUUAUUGGGCGUAAAGAGCUCGUAGGCGGUUUGUCGCGUCUGCCGUGAAAGUCCGGGGCUCAACUCCGGAUCUGCGGUGGGUACGGGCAGACUAGAGUGAUGUAGGGGAGACUGGAAUUCCUGGUGUAGCGGUGAAAUGCGCAGAUAUCAGGAGGAACACCGAUGGCGAAGGCAGGUCUCUGGGCAUUAACUGACGCUGAGGAGCGAAAGCAUGGGGAGCGAACAGGAUUAGAUACCCUGGUAGUCCAUGCCGUAAACGUUGGGCACUAGGUGUGGGGGACAUUCCACGUUUUCCGCGCCGUAGCUAACGCAUUAAGUGCCCCGCCUGGGGAGUACGGCCGCAAGGCUAAAACUCAAAGGAAUUGACGGGGGCCCGCACAAGCGGCGGAGCAUGCGGAUUAAUUCGAUGCAACGCGAAGAACCUUACCAAGGCUUGACAUGGACCGGACCGCCGCAGAAAUGUGGUUUCCCCUUUGGGGCUGGUUUACAGGUGGUGCAUGGUUGUCGUCAGCUCGUGUCGUGAGAUGUUGGGUUAAGUCCCGCAACGAGCGCAACCCUCGUUCUAUGUUGCCAGCAC